UAAAGGGGCAAUGCCGCGACGAAAGCGUUCGUGUGGGGCCCGCCAGGCGUCGCUGGCCGCCUCGUCUCCCGAGGGGACGUUUCUGACUGGGCUGCAGCUGUGCGAGCCGCCGAGCCCCAAGGCCUGACUGAGCCUUCCUCAGAAGGCUGUGAGCGGCCCUGUUUCCUGCCCCUGGGGAAGGAAGUGGCGCUGAGUGAUAAUCACCAGAGCAACCCUGGGACACACCCCUUCUGUGGAGAAAGACGGACAACAGGAUACUCAUCUACCCUUGUGAGCUGUGGGAUGUGCUAGUGUUUUGUCUCCGGAGGUGGAGGUGGUGAUUUCAUUGCCUCCAAAGAGCAUACAUGAUUCAUGGACUGCCCUUCGUGACUGCAGUAACCCCCUUCGAGGCUGUGAAAGCUUAGACAGAGAAAAGGCUGCACAGAAGUGAAGUUUGCCAGAUGACUGACUUCAUCAGUGCAAGGUAAUGCACCUGUCAGCAUUGCAGCUGAGGCAGAAGAUGGAGCGGGAAUACCGCAAAGUCACUGUAAACACAGCUGCUUACGGCCCUGCUCCAGGGAAGGUUCCCCAGUCAGUGUAACAACUCCGCUCCGGCAGGGGAGGGUUUCCCCAGAGAAGUUGUUACAGCUCUGCUCAGCACCCCUGGAGCAUAACAACUCUUCCCCAGUGAAAGUGUCACAGUUCUGCUCUUGCUCUCUGGCUCUGGCAAAAGUUAUUAGAGCUGGGCUCCACUCCAGCAAAAAUGUUACACUCCACAACAAACCUCACUCAAGAGAUUUAUUGGGAAGGAAGAAUCCAGGAGGGUGGCUGCCCCUGAGGUGAGAAGCAGCAGAGAACUGAACAGGGUGCAGAGCUUAUGGUGGGGGGGCAGCUUUCCAGGGUAGCUUGGGAUUGGUGGAUUUUGUGGUCUGAUUCUGGGGCAAGCUGAGGGAUUGGUGGGAUUCUGCAGCCUGACUCUGGGGCAAGCUCAGGGAUUCGUGGGAUUUCAAGCCCUGGUCCUGGGGGUCAGGUCAGGGUGUUUUUCCUUGGGCCAGAUCUCAGGUCUGCUCAGGGGCACAGUGUUUUUUCCUUAGCUCUUUUCGCCCUAUAGCAUGGGUGGACACUGACAACCUACUUACUCAGGAGAGUUGCUGAGAUCUCUGGAUGUUGGGGCCUGGAUCCUGGGUACAGAGGCCAUCUCAGGUGAAAGUUCAUCUCUUGUCCUUGGUCAUUUACUGGAAUGGGAAUGGUGCUGAGCUGGUGACCUUAUUCUGGAAAAUAUGGGUUGAUAUUGAUUUUCUACAACAAAACCUUUGGUGCUUAGAGCAUGGCAAAGGUAACCAGGCAGAAGAAACUCCACCAGAGCGCUGAACCCAGGCUUUGGGGUUGUUACUGUCUGCACAAGAUAGACUGUGAAUUUCAGAAAAAUGGCUUGAUUAUUAUUGGUAAUCGAUAAAUUUGUCCUUCCGUGUGUGACCAUUUCUUUUGAAUUGUUUCUUAUCCCUUCUUUGGUCAGUCCGAUUGUGCCAUUAAAGCCAUGCCUGCCCCUUCCCCCUUCCGCAGAGAAUCCUUUUUUCAUCAGAGUAAAUGUGUCUGAUAUCUUAAAGGUUGUAGGGUUGUGUGUAUGUGUUUUUUUAAAGUAUGCUUUACUAUGAUAUUAAGAUGAAUGAGCAUUCUUCUGUUGAACCUUAGAGGGUUGUGAGUAGUGAAGGCCAUUGGGAAAACACAUGACAAAACUUGGAUUCCUGAAUUUGGAAAUAUAAGAACACCAGCUCUGUUAACCAACUCUGCCUGCUGCAUCAGGAGACACGCCAGGAUAUCCAAGGUGACCAUUGCUCACUCCACUGAUACUGAGUACCUGUCAUAUGCAUUUCUGAUGGCUGGACCUUUUCAAAGUCCUUUGAGCUUUCUGGUACCUUCUCCCUUCCCUUUAAUGCUUUCAAAUGCCUCUGCCCGCCUCAUUAGUUAGAGUAUAGGACACUGUAAACACCAGCACUUCUCUGUCCCUUUAGUACACAGCACCACCUUGAUCAUAGGUAUAGGCUUAAAUCAUAGGACAAGAGAGGGAGUGAGUGUAACAACCUACUUGACAUAAAAUACAAGGGAAAAGGCGGGCGAUGGUGGUGCACACCUUUGAUGCCAGCACUCAGGAGGCAGAGGCAGGCAGAUCUCUGAGUUCGAGGCCAGCCUGGUCUACAGAGCAAGUUCCAGGACAGCCAGGGCUACAGAGAAACCCUGUCUUGAAAAACCAACCAACCAAACAAACAAACAAAGAAACAAACAAAACAACAAAAAACCCUAAAAACAAAAACAAAAAACAAAACAAAGGAAAAUUCAUCAUAGAAAUGCCAGAGCUUCUAUAUCCUUAUAGAGGCUUUGAGAAUCAGAUAGUUCUUGGAAGCACUCUAAAGUAAGGAAAUAAUCACAGACAGAGGAAGCUUUGUACCCGGAACCCUCAAUCAGUGAUGUGCAGCAUGAUGAAAAGCUGGCCCAUUAGUCGCACAACUGCCUAAGUAGAAAAUGGAAUGCCUAUUCAUAUUCUCAUGAAGAUUUUAUAAAUAGGAUGAAUGUCCUUAUUUGGGGAUUAGGAAUAAUAACUAAUAAUAGCUAACACUUUUGUAACAUUUAGAGCAUUAGAACUGGGCAUGAUGUAAGGCUUUAGAUAAAUUAACUUCCCAUGCUCCUAUGCUCAGUAUGGAAUGGGGAGAGGGUUAGCCAAGUUCUGUCAGAAUUUUUUGUUUGCUAGUAACAGAAACCCCCCCUCAUGAAUAACAAAAGGCAUUCAGUGGAUCAGCAUGAGAAGAUUGGGGUGGAGCUGAAGGCUCUCUCUCUCUCUCUAUGUAGGUGUUCCAUGAGGCUGGCCAGACGUGGGCUUCAUUUUAAGACAUCUUGGUGGCGUAAUACCUGACAGCACACCUGAUGCCCUCCAACUAAAAUAUAAAAGGCCUAGUUUGUGGUUUGAAUAAAACCCUAGAUCUGAGUCUCACUAGUCCAAAUUGAAGGCCAGGGAAAUGCAAUCUCCCAUUGGCCAAAUCUGGAGUGGAGAAGGCCAUUCUCUGAUAGGCCAAGCCUGAGCAGGCA